UCCGUGUUCCAUUUGCAGCGCGGGCAACUGUUAUGAACAUCUUUCGUAUUCCACUGAAUCUCAUUGUGAUAACUAUCUUACUAUUUAAUCUUUCUCAUGAUGUUAUCUUUAUUUCUUGUUCUGGUUUUCUAAUAAUAGGAUCGAUGUUCCAGCACUUCUUAUUUAAUUUGUGCCAAGAAAACUUGGAAUCAUUUCCCUCUUUAAAAGAUCCACAAGCAAUUUAAGUAACUCAAAAGACAGCGGUCAGUUUUAUGCAUCAAAGAAAUAUAUCUUCAAUUUUUUAAUAUGGAAGACAAUGCCUAUUAUCUCCAAAAAACAAAAAGGGAAAAACUGGGUAGCUAAGUGUUGACCAAUGUAUUAUUACAAAUCUUAAAUGAAUGUAAAUGGUAUUGUAUAUUUUAAAGGUGAAAUAUCUUCUUUUCAUAAUAAUUCAUUCUGCCUUCUAUUCCAUGAUGUGUUAUGCAGACAAACCACACCGAUUUAAUGUUUUUUAUACUUUGUUCUAUGUAUGAGACAAACUUCUUGUUUUAAAAUCAUCUAAAAUAAAACCUCCCACGAAAACUUUAUAUUAAUUCAUCACGAAAUGUUAGUGUCAAGUAGUGUUUAGGCAUUCUCUAUGGUAGCUGCAAUGAAUUUGCCUUUUAGCAGUUGAAAUAUGUCACAAACAUAUUAAUUUAUGUUUCAAACACCAGCUCAAUAAGGACAAAGUUAUUUUACUAAAUUUUCCACUAUUUUCAAAAUUAAGUGAACCAAAUGCAGUAUAUUUCAAUAGAAAUAUGGUAACAAAAUGGUUGAUAGCUAUGAAUUCAUCUAAUCCUUUUGUCCACACAUACAUCCCUAAAUCAUCUUGUUAUCUCGCACAGUUUCCAAAACACUGAUCUAAGUGUUUUGCAUUGUUUAUCAGAGAUUAAAUUCACCAGCGCAGUUAAUCUGACUAAUUCUCAGUGAUCAAAUUUCCACCUAUGCAAAUUUAAAUUCAAUUUGAUUAAUUUUCAACCGAGAGCUAGGUAUAAACUUGACAUCACUGGAUGUCAACUGACAAGCUGAAUGGUCAAUGUUUUGUACCCUAUUGCUAGCAAUGUGCCUUGUCUGUUUCUCUGACUAUUACUGUCUCAAGGCCUAGGACUCAUAGAGCCAGUUAACGCCAGUCCAUCACAGAGUUACUCAUUUGCAGUCGAGUGAUCCAGUCCACUCAGCUGUAAAUGAAGUAUUUUGCUCAAAAAGACAACACAUAACCUAAUCUAAGAAUUGAAACCACAAUCAUGCAGUUAUGACCACUGGGCCACACAUUUUCAAUGUCUGUAUCUAUGACCCUUUAAUUCUUACUGGCCCAGCCAUUUAGAUGUGGAAAAUAUUAAGCCAACAAAAGACAAAAUAUAUACUAUAUUUAUAAUGAUUAGGUCUUUUGCCUGUUGCUAUGCUAUCAGUAAAAUUAUAUGUUAAUCAUGCAUAUACCGUCUUUUAAUAGUAGACUGUUAUAUAGUGAAAGUCUUGUUACUGUGGUGACAACAGCCUACCUCUCUAUAUUUCACACACACACACACUCUCUCUCUCUCUCUCCCUUCUCUCUCUCUCUCCCUUCUCUCUCUCUCUCCCUCCCUUCUCUCUCUCCCCCUCCCCUCUCUCUCUACCUAUCUCUCUCUCCCUCCCUUCUCUCUCCCCCUCCCCUCUCUCUCUA